UAGCAAACCACUUCUCUCCAAAUCUCUCUCAACAUCAAAGCAUGAGAAAAAUUAGGGUUCAGUCCAAAUUUAAUGUGUCUUUAAAGCUUUGACGGCCUCACUCCACCGGUUUCAUCAACCUCUUCCUCCUUUUCAUCUGCCUGAAUGUAGAGCCGUUCGGCCUCUACAGCGUUUGGUCAGUAGAUUAUUUACAACUUCGGAAGAGAGCCGGGGAGGAGGCCUUCGCUUUCCUAUUCCGAUGGGCGGAGAGAUGGCUUUGUUAGAAAUCUCCGAUUCUGCCAUCACACAAAGGAUGUUGACUUCACGAAGAGGAAAUGUACACACUGUUUAUCUGGGAGAGACGGAGCAUGACAUCCCGAAGUGAUCGUGGAUUCACACCAUGACUUGCUUGCCACUGUAGUCGGAAGAAGUUAGGUCAAACGAUGACAAGCAACGGAACAUGGAGAAAACUGCAAACAACCUUAUCCCUGAACCUCUGAGAUCUGAAGAGCAAAUUAAAUUAAGAUAACACAUUCAUCAUGUAAAUGUGGGCAGCAUGGAUGCGGAGCAGCUUCAUCACCAUCUGUACUUCCAGUUGCCAUAUCCAAUCAAAUGAACAAGCAUGAGUGAGGAUGACCUUCUCAACUUUUUGGUAACUCGGCCACGUCCCUUUUUCGUCUCAUCAAAAGUCAGAAUUCGGCUCCCAGCCAUCACUUCUUUGAGCAGUUUGAUCAACUACUGCUCAACAUGGAACUCUUUUUGUUUAUGAUCCAAAAGAGGGCAUGCGCAUUUCCCACCAACGCAUUUGCAAUCCUGCACUGAACCCUACGGAUUGCACUCUUUGUCCGAAAAAACAUGGAAUAAAAAAAAUUCUCCAGGCACCUUCAGGCCAAUACUGUUUCAUUAGCCCCUUCUAUAUAUGUAGCAAACAUGAAAAAAAAAAAAAGAAGUUAGUUCAUACACACACAUAUAUGAGAGAGAGUGAGAG